rnacentral:rRNA from 1 species
ACCCAAAUUUUUAUCCAGGUUGACCUCGGAUCAGGUAGGGAUACCCGCUGAACUUAAGCAUAUCAAUAAGCGGAGGAAAAGAAACCAACAGGGAUUGCCCCAGUAACGGCGAGUGAAGCGGCAAGAGCUCAAAUUUGAAAGCUGCCUCCUUCGGGGUCCGCAUUGUAAUUUGCAGAGGAUGCUUCG